CUUACGGGAGGCAGCAGUGGGGAAUAUGCGCAAUGGGAGAAACCCUGCAGCAACGCCGCGUGAGCGAUGAAGGUCUUCGGAUUGUAAAGCUCUGUCUUUAGGGACGAUAAUGACGGUACCUAAGGACGAAGCCACGGCUAACUACGUGCCAGCAGCCGCGG
rnacentral:rRNA from 1 species